rnacentral:rRNA from 1 species
GUUGUGUUAACUAAAGACAACCUCGCACGACGCAACUGGCAAGGGAGUAAGAAGUGUUGUUUUUGUACUCAUGACGAGACAAUCAAACACCUCUUUUUUCAAUGCAAGUUUGCACGUUUUACGUGGUCAGUCAUCCAAACAGCGUCAAAUUUGCAUCCACCCACAAGUGUUGCCAAUAUUUUUGGUCAUUGGUUGGACGGUAUUCCAAAUAGUUUCAAAAUGCUAAUAAGGGUGGGAGCGUAUGUCUUAAUUUGGUCGCUUUGGCUAUGUAGAAAUGAUUUGAUUUUCAAUGAAAAAAUGCUUCUUCUUUGUAGGUUAUUUUCCGGUGUACGCACUCGCUACGUACGUGAUCUAUUCUACAACGACAGGAGUACCAAUCGAUGUUCAAGGCGGUGUGUACGCGAUUGA